UGUUUCCAUAGUGUAGUGGUUAUCACGUUUUGCCUAGCACGCAAAGGUGCCUCAAUUUUGGUUUAAACAG